rnacentral:rRNA from 1 species
UUACUGAAAUAGAAGACCCACUCUGCUGGGCUUCACUUUUCAAAUUCAAACACCAUGUGCACUGUCUGGGUGAACACCUUGCCUUGUGCAAGGCUACUAGCCCUCUAUUUUUUUUUCAAAACACAGGUCAAUGCAUGUGCUAUACAUAUAAAAAAAUAAAACUUUCAACAACGGAUCUCUUGGCUCCCGCAUCGAUGAAGAACGCAGCGAAAUGCGAUAAGUAAUGUGAAUUGCARAACUCAGUGAAUCAUCGAAUCUUUGAACGCACCUUGCACUCCAUGGUAUUCCGUGGAGUAUGUCUGUCUGAGUGUCAUGAAACUCUCAACCCUCUCACUUUUGCUUGUCAAUGUGCUUGGGCUUGGAUCAUGAGUGCCUGCUGGACCUGCGCAUCAGCUCACUCUAAAUGUAUUAGCGGUUUGCUUGUCGUAUCCCUGCAGCUAGAACCGGCGUAAUAGGAUUUAUUCGCUGGGGUGUUGCGGUCGUGAUGGUUGCAUGGCUUACUGCUCUUGCCAUAUAUUCUAAGUGUUUGGCCUCAGAUCAGGCAGGACUACCCGCUGAACUUAA